rnacentral:rRNA from 1 species
UUGACCUCAAAUCAGGUAGGACUACCCGCUGAACUUAAGCAUAUCAAUAAGCGGAGGAAAAGAAACUAACGAGGAUUCCCCUAGUAACUGCGAGUGAAGCGGGAAAAGCUCAAAUUUGAAAUCUGGCGGUCUUUGUGGCUGUCCGAGUUGUAAUCUAGAGAAGUGCUUACCUGUGCUGGACCGUGUAAAAGUCUCCUGGAAUGGAGCAUCAUAGAGGGUGAGAAUCCCGUCUUUGACAUGGACUGCCUGUACAUCAAGGUGCGCUCUCGAAGAGUCGAGUUGUUUGGGAAUGCAGCUCAAAAUGGGUGGUAAAUGCCAUCUAAAGCUAAAUAUUGGCGAGAGACCGAUAGCGAACAAGUACCGUGAGGGAAAGAUGAAAAGAACUUUGGAAAGAGAGUUAAACAGUACGUGAAAUUGCUGAAAGGGAAACGCUUGAAGUCAGUCACGUUUGCUGGAAAUCAGCCUUGCUUUUGCUUGGUGUACUUUCCUGUCGACGGGUCAGCAUCAGUUUUGACCAUUGGAUAAGGGUGAUGGGAAUGUGGCAUCCUUGGAUGUGUUAUAGCCCAUUGUCGCAUACGGUGGUUGGGAUUGAGGAACUCAGCACGCCCGCAAGGGCAGGGUCUUCUGACCACGACUCGUGCUUAGGAUGCUGGCAUAAUGGCUUUAAUCGACCCGUC